ACGACGCAGUGAGGCGCAGCUACCAUGCAAGUCGAGCGGAUGAGGGAGCUUGCUCCCUGAUUUACGGCGGACGGGUGAGAAAUGCCUAGGAAUCUGCCUGGUAGAGGGGGAUAACGUUCCGAAAGGAACGCUAAUACCGCGUACGUCCUACGGGAGAAAGCAGGGGACCUUCGGGCCUUGCGCUAUCAGAUGAGCCUAGGUCGGAUUAGCUAGUUGGUGAGGUAAUGGCUCACCAAGGCGACGAUCCGUAACUGGUCUGAGAGGAUGAUCAGUCACACUGGAACUGAGACACGGUCCAGACUCCUACGGGAGGCAGCAGUGGGGAAUAUUGGACAAUGGGCGAAAGCCUGAUCCAGCCAUGCCGCGUGUGUGAAGAAGGUCUUCGGAUUGUAAAGCACUUUAAGUUGGGAGGAAGGGCUGCUGGUUAAUACCCUGCAGUUUUGACGUUACCAACAGAAUAAGCACCGGCUAACUUCGUGCCAACAACCGCGGUAAUACGAAGGGUGCAAGCGUUAAUCGGAAUUACUGGGCGUAAAGCGCGCGUAGGUGGUUCGUUAAGUUGGAUGUGAAAGCCCCGGGCUCAACCUGGGAACUGCUGCCCAACACUGGAGAGCUAAAUUACGGUAGAGGGGGGGUGGAAUUGGUCUGACUACCGGAGAGAUGUUCUAUUU
rnacentral:rRNA from 1 species